GGGACCCGCACAAGCGGUGGAUGAGUGUGGUUAAUUCGAUGCAACGCGAAAACUUACCCACCUUUGACAUGUACGGAAUCCUUUAGAGAUAGAGGAGUGCUCGAAAGAGAACCGUAACACAGGUGCUGCAUGGCUGUCGUCAGCUCGUGUCGUGAGAUGUUGGGUUAAGUCCCGCAACGAGCGCAACCCUUGUCAUUAGUUGCUACAUUCAGUUGGGCACUCUAAUGAGACUGCCGGUGACAAACCGGAGGAAGGUGGGGAUGACGUCAAGUCCUCAUGGCCCUUAUAGGUGGGGCUACACACGUCAUACAAUGGAUGGUACAAAGGGUCGCCAACCCGCGAGGGGGAGCCAAUCCCAUAAAGCCAUUCGUAGUCCGGAUCGCAGUCUGCAACUCGACUGCGUGAAGUCGGAAUCGCUAGUAAUCGUGGAUCAGAAUGUCACGGUGAAUACGUUCCCGGGUCUU
rnacentral:rRNA from 1 species